UGCGUAGGGUGCAAGCGUUAAUCGGAAUUACUGGGCGUAAAGCGUGCGCAGGCGGUGAUGUAAGACAGAUGUGAAAUCCCAGGGCUCAACCUUGGAACUGCAUUUGUGACUGCAUCGCUGGAGUGCGGCAGAGGGGGAUGGAAUUCCGCGUGUAGCAGUGAAAUGCGUAGAUAUGCGGAGGAACACCGAUGGCGAAGGCAAUCCCCUGGGCCUGCACUGACGCUCAUGCACGAAAGCGUGGGGAGCAAACAGG
rnacentral:rRNA from 1 species